UACGGGGGGGGCAAGCGUUGUUCGGAAUUACUGGGCGUAAAGGGCUUGUAGGUGGCCAACUAAGUCAGACGUGAAAUCCCUCGGCUUAACCGGGGAACUGCGUCUGAUACUGGAUGGCUCGAGUGUGGGAGAGGGAUGCGGAAUUCCAGGUGUAGCGGUGAAAUGCGUAGAUAUCGUAAGGAAGACCAGUGGCGAAGGCGGGUCUCUGGACAGUUCCUGACGCUGAGGCACGAAGGCCAGGGGAGCAAACGGG
rnacentral:rRNA from 1 species